GCGGGGAUGGCCCAGCCCGGUAAGGCGUUGGAUUGCUAAUCCAAUGGUCUCUGACCUCGGGAGUUCGAAUCUCCCUCCCCGCG
rfam:Thermoplasmatales archaeon SM1-50 WOR1_30_36_4026, whole genome shotgun sequence.